rnacentral:rRNA from 1 species
UGGGGAAUAUUGCACAAUGGGGGAAACCCUGAUGCAGCGACGCCGCGUGAGCGAAGACGGUUUUCGGACUGUAAAGCUCUGUCAACGGGGACGAUAAUGACGGUACCCGUGGAGGAAGCCACGGCUAACUACGUGCCAGCAGCCGCGGUAAUACGUAGGUGGCAAGCGUUGUCCGGAAUUACUGGGUGUAAAGGGAGCGUAGGCGGGAAGCUAAGUUGGAUGUGUAAUACCGGGGCUCAACUCCGGGGCUGCAUCCAAAACUGGUUUUCUUGAGUGAAGUAGAGGCAGGCGGAAUUCCUAGUGUAGCGGUGAAAUGCGUAGAUAUUAGGAGGAACACCAGUGGCGAAGGCGGCCUGCUGGGCUUUAACUGACGCUGAGGCUCGAAAGCGUGGGGAGCAAACA